rnacentral:tRNA from 1 species
GUCUCUCUGGCGCGGCGUUCGUGUAUCCGACUGAGAUUCGAGAGGUUGCGGGUUCGAUUCCCGCGAUUGACU